rnacentral:rRNA from 1 species
AAAGAUUAAGCCAUGCAUGUCUAAGUAUAAGCAAUCUAUACAGUGAAACUGCGAAUGGCUCAUUAAAUCAGUUAUCGUUUAUUUGAUAGUACCUUACUACUUGGAUAACCGUGGUAAUUCUAGAGCUAAUACAUGCUAAAAAUCCCGACCUCUGGAAGGGAUGUAUUUAUUAGAUAAAAAACCAAUGCCUUCGGGCUCCUUGGUGAUUCAUGAUAACUUUACGAAUCGCACGGCCUUGUGCCGGCGAUGGUUCAUUCAAAUUUCUGCCCUAUCAACUUUCGAUGGUAGGAUAGUGGCCUACCAUGGUUU